UCCACCCGGAACAGCUCGAGGGGGUUCUCCAGGAAGACCUCCAGGUGCAGCAGGCAGGAGGGGCUCUGCUUGCAGAUCUGCUCGCGAUCAAUCUUCUCGUUCACGUAGAGCACCCCGGUCUCCAGGUUGAGCUCCAGGAUUGUCCUCGGUUUGUCUUCCUGGUGGGAGCUGGAGGGGGAGACGCUGCUGGCGGAGCCGGUGGACAUGCCCUCUUCGGAGGCAAGGAAAAGGCAGAAAAUCGCGAAAUUAAAAAAAAUAAUAAUAAAAUUAUAA